rnacentral:rRNA from 1 species
UUUAACCUAACAAAGUUCACACUAAAAAAAAAAAUAAUACAAAUUAACUUUUCCCCCAAACAAAAAUUAAAACCCAUUAUUUUAAAAUAAAGAUUUCGGGGUCUUCUCGUCUUUGAAAACAAAUCUAACUUUUCACAGAUAAAUCAAAUUCAGCUAAAAAACCGUUUAUAAAAAAACCUCCAUAACUCCACUCAUACAAGUUCUCAAUAAAAGAGCAAAUGACUUCGCUACU